GAUGAGGAACGUAGCGAAAUGCGAUAAGUAAUGUGAAUUGCAGAAUUCAGUGAAUCAUCGAAUCUUUGAACGCACAUUGCGCCCGCCAGUAUUCUGGCGAGCAUGCCUGUUCGAGCGUCAUUUCAACCAUCAAGCCCCAGGCUUGUGUUGGAGCCCUGCGGCUGCCGCAGCCUCCCAAAACCAGUGGCGGGCUCGCUAUCACACCGAGUGCAGUAGUUUACUCUUCGCUCAGGGCGUGUGGCGGGUGCUAGCCGUGAAACCCCCAACUUCUCAAGGUUGACCUCGGAUCAGGUAGGAAUACCCGCUGAACUUAAGCAUAUCAAUAAGCGGAGGA
rnacentral:misc_RNA from 1 species